CCUCGUGUACAUGGGGUGUAGUAAACUUGUAAGCCUAGUAACAGGUUUCUCAAGUUUAUAUUUGGAGAACCUAAAUUUAUAUUUAUUAAAUUUCUUUUUGCAAAAGUUUCUUUCAGACAUGCUGUCAGUCAAGAUAUUGUUCAAAUCACGAACCGCAUAGAAGUGACGUCCAAAAAGUUGAGAUAAACUAAAAAAUAUAGAAUUAUUGUUAGUAAAACUAAGACGCAAAUUUGAAAUGGUUGGACGAUUACAGAUGAUUCAUGAUGAUGUUUUGAAAUUUAAGACCUUAAAUACUUGUGUUGAAUAUGGAUGUGAUUUAUAUAAUCCUUCAAACUAUUGAAAAGAAAAGCUGAUAUAUUGAUAUAUAAAUUCUCUGGCCAAGCGCGUUCUAGAUGCAUGGAGGACACCAAUAAAUGAAGCUUUUCUUCUUCUUUUCCUUUAAUUUUGACAUGUAAAUUGUAAUAAACAGUUAAUAAAUUUUGAAUUUUUUACUGAGUACUAAAUAAAAACAUAAAAUUUCC
rnacentral:lncRNA from 1 species